rnacentral:rRNA from 1 species
AGUGGAUGGGGAGCAACCUAGUUGUGCGUGUGUAAAGGUAGUGCCAAGAAAAGCGAUGAUCAUGUUGAAAAUCAAUUCCCGGUACCCGAAACCGACACAGGUGGGCAAGUAGAGAAUACUAAGGGGCGCGAGGUAACUCUCUCCAAGGAACUCGGCAAAAUGACCCCGUAACUUAGGGAGAAGGGGUGCCACCGAGAGGUGGUCGCAGUGAAGAGGCCCGGGCGACUGUUUAGCAAAAACAUAGGUCUCUGCAAACUCGAAAGAGGAGGUAUAGGGGCUGACGCCUGCCCAGUGCCGGAAGGUUAAAGAAGUUGGUCAGUUUUAGGAUGAAGCUAGCGACUGAAGCCCCGGUGAACGGCGGCCGUAACUAUAACGGUCCUAAGGUAGCGAAAUUCCUUGUCGGGUAAGUUCCGACCCGCACGAAAGGCGUAACGAUCUGGGCGCUGUCUCGGAGAGAGGCUCGGCGAAAUAGGAUUGUCUGUGAAGAUACGGACUACCUGCAUUUGGACAGCAAGACCCUAUGAAGCUUUACUAUAGCUUGGAAUUGUGUUCGGGCUUCCUGUGCGCAGGAUAGGUGGGAGGCGUAGAAGGUAUUCUUGUGGGGAUACUGGAGCCAACGGUGAGAUACCACUCUCAGGAGGCUAGAAUUCUAACUUAAUUAAGGACAGUUUCAGGUGGGUAGUUUGACUGGGGCGGUCGCCUCCAAAAAGGUAACGGAGGCGUACAAAGGUUCCCUCAGACUGGUUGGAAAUCAGUCGAAGAGUGCAAAGGCAGAAGGGAGCUUGACUGCGAGAAGUACAGUUCGAGCAGGGUGGAAACACGGUCUUAGUGAUCCGACGGUGCUGUGUGGAAGGGCCGUCGCUCAACGGAUAAAAGUUACUCUAGGAUAACAGGCUGAUCUCCCCCAAGAGUUCACAUCGACGGGGAGGUUUGGCACCUCGAUGUCGGCUCAUCGCAACCUGGGGCGGAAGUACGUCCCAAGGGUUGGGCUGUUCGCCCAUUAAAGCGGUACGUGAGCUGGGUUCAGAACGUCGUGAGACAGUUCGGUCCAUAUCCGAUGUAGGCGUGAGAAUAUUGAGAGGAGCCUUCCUUAGUACGAGAGGACCGGGAAGGACGCACCGCUGGUGUACCUGUUAUGAUGCCAAUUGUAAACGCAGGGUAGCCAAGUGCGGAGAGGAUAACCGCUGAAAGCAUCUAAGUGGGAAGCCCACCUCAAGAUGAGUAUUCUGGUGUAAGGUCACGGGAAGACGACCCGUAAAUAGGCACGAGGUGGAAGUGCAGAGAUGUACGAAGCCGAAGUGUACUAAUAGACCGUCGGCUUGACC